CAGUAGCCACGGUAAUACAGAGGGUGCGAGCGUUAAUCGGAUUUACUGGGCGUAAAGCGUGCGUAGGCGGCUUCUUAAGUCGGAUGUGAAAUCCCUGAGCUUAACUUAGGAAUUGCAUUCGAUACUGGGAAGCUAGAGUAUGGGAGAGGAUGGUAGAAUUCCAGGUGUAGCGGUGAAAUGCGUAGAGAUCUGGAGGAAUACCGAUGGCGAAGGCAGCCAUCUGGCCUAAUACUGACGCUGAGGUACGAAAGCAUGGGGAGCAAACAGGAUUAGAUACCCCCUAGUCCCUGUCUCUUAUACA
rnacentral:rRNA from 1 species